AAGGGUGUUGUUUAGCUAGUGAUAACUUGCUUUCCUUUGGCGUGGAUGUAGACUUGUACAGUGUUUUAAUAAAGUGUACCUAUUCGUGUCGGACUGUUUGCAUGUUUGAGUUUUAGGAAGUACAACGUAGCCUUUACUUAGCUGUGAACUAACUUGGCUGCGUGAACGGAGUGUCAAGAAACAUCGCGUAUUCUGUCAACAACACGGUCCACCGCCACUGCUGUCUAGUUGCUACGUUGCUACUACUACCAAGAGUCCAUAAACUCUUGCUACUACUACUAGUUAGAAUCGGUGGCAAAGCCAAGACCACUUGCUGCGCCACCGGUGAGUGGGGCGAGUUUGUGCCGGUGGCCAUGGCCAUACAGAUGCAGCGCGGAUACACAAAAAUAAUGUAUUCCAAUAUCCUUGUGCACGGUGGCGGAAGUUGACAUACGGAAUACGAGGGUUGUGACAACCAACCAGGCCAGCACAGCAGAGACUGCUCGCUAGCACCAGAUUCCAGAGUACAGACUCAGGCAUUGCAGCACUGACUGUACUAGUAGUGGUAGCUAGCUGUGGAGAGUAGUACUGUCUGUACUGGAAAUUACCAAGGCGGACACAGCCAUAAUCCAUUGUCCCUGACAGUGACUGUACUGCUGCGGAUUCGCUUUGGUCUUGGAUGGUCCAUGAGUCAUGACAAGAGCAUGCCAAGCAGCGCAAUCCCGUUAAAAUGAUGUCAUGGCGGUGAACAAGCAGUGCCGUGUAUGGACAUCAAGAACACAAGGUGAACAAGCUAGCUGCAUAGCGAGGGCCCUGCAAGCACUGAAGCAGUACCUCAAGCAGUACAAUAAUGCCAUGUAUAUCUGUCCCUCCAGGAAAUCGCGAUUCCACGGAUGCAACAAAUUUCGCGAUUUUGGCCCACGAUUUUCAGCAAAAUCCGCGAUUUCCCGCGUUUUUUGUUGUUUUCUGCAAUAUAUCUCACAUUUUUAUGCACAUUUCACGCAGUUCUUUCCAUGAUCCUGUAGGUUAUUUGCACAGUACGACUCCCGAGUAGAUAUACGAUGCAACAAAUUUCGUGAUUUGGCCCAAAUCCGCAAUUUUCUGCAAAUAGGGACAGGUACUUAGUACCGUAUUAUGUUUUAAAAAAUUGUCUUCGUCACUAUACAUGUACAUAGAAAACUACAUUGGAUUUACAGUAUUGUCAGUAAUCUAAUUACAUGUAUUUUAAAUUACCUUCCGCAGAUACAGAGCUCAAUACGGCGAUCAGCAACACAAGGCUUUCUUCAUCGUCUUUAGCAUCAGCUAGCAAGGCUUCAC